rnacentral:rRNA from 1 species
CAAUAGCGUAUAUUAAAGUUGUUGCGGUUAAAAAGCUCGUAGUUGGAUUUCUGCUGAGAACGACCGGUCCGCCCUUUGGGUGUGUAUCUGGCUCUUUCUUGGCAUCUUCUUGGUGAACGUUGCUGCACUUGACUGUGUGGAGCGCUACCCAGGACUUUUACUUUGAGGAAAUUAGAGUGUUUCAAGCAGGCAUACGCCUUGAAUACAUUAGCAUGGAAUAAUAAGAUAGGACCUCGGUUCUAUUUUGUUGGUUUCUAGAGCUGAGGCAAUGAUUAAUAGGGAUAGUUGGGGGCAUUCGUAUUUAACUGUCAGAGGUGAAAUUCUUGGAUUUGUUAAAGACGGACUACUGCGAAANCANNNGCCAAGGAUGUUUUCAUNGA